UUUUUUUCUUUUUUUUUUCUUUUUUUUUCUCCUAUCUCUGCGAAUU
rnacentral:ribozyme from 14 species